rnacentral:tRNA from 1 species
CAAAGAAUAGUUUAUUAAAAUAAUAAUUUUGGAGAUUAUAGAUAAAAUAUUUAAAUUUUUUCUUUGA